CCGUAUAACGAACAGACCUUAACCUGCUAAUAGUCAGGCCGGCUUUGCUGGUCGCCGACUUCUUAGAGGGACUGUCAGCGUCUAGCUGACGGAAGUUUGAGGCAAUAACAGGUCUGUGAUGCCCUUAGAUGUUCUGGGCCGCACGCGCGCUACACUGACAGGGCCAGCGAGUAUAUCACCUUGGCCGAAAGGCCUGGGUAAUCUUGUGAAACCUUGUCGUGCUGGGGAUAGAGCAUUGCAAUG
rnacentral:rRNA from 1 species